rnacentral:tRNA from 1 species
AGGUCAAUGGCGCAAUUGGUAGAGCAUCGGUCUCCAAAACCGAGGGUUGGGGGUUCGAGUCCCUCUUGACCUG